GACUGGGAUAACACCUGGAAACAGAUGCUAAUACCGGAUAACAACACUAGACGCAUGUCUAGAGUUUGAAAGAUGGUUCUGCUAUCACUCUUGGAUGGACCUGCGGUGCAUUAGCUAGUUGGUAAGGUAACGGCUUACCAAGGCAAUGAUGCAUAGCCGAGUUGAGAGACUGAUCGGCCACAUUGGGACUGAGACACGGCCCAAACUCCUACGGGAGGCAGCAGUAGGGAAUCUUCCACAAUGGACGAAAGUCUGAUGGAGCAACGCCGCGUGAGUGAAGAAGGGUUUCGGCUCGUAAAGCUCUGUUGGUAGUGAAGAAAGAUAGAGGUAGUAACUGGCCUUUAUUUGACGGCAAUUACUUAGAAAGUCACGGCUAACUACGUGCCAGCAGCCGCGGUAAUACGUAGGUGGCAAGCGUUGUCCGGAUUUAUUGGGCGUAAAGCGAGUGCAGGCGGUUCAAUAAGUCUGAUGUGAAAGCCUUCGGCUCAACCGGAGAAUUGCAUCAGAAACUGUUGAACUUGAGUGCAGAAGAGGAGAGUGGAACUCCAUGUGUAGCGGUGGAAUGCGUAGAUAUAUGGAAGAACACCAGUGGCGAAGGCGGCUCUCUGGUCUGCAACUGACGCUGAGGCUCGAAAGCAUGGGUAGCGAACAGGAUUAGAUACCCUGGUAGUCCAUGCCGUAAACGAUGAGAACUAAGUGUUGGGAGGUUUCCGCCUCUCAGUGCUGCAG
rnacentral:rRNA from 1 species